GUGCCCACUUUGGCAGCACACAUACUAAAAUUGGAAUGAUACAGAGAAGAUUGCCAUGGCCCCUGCACAAGGAUGACAUGCAAAUUAGUGAAGUGUUCCAUGUUUUU
ensembl:snRNA U6 U6 spliceosomal RNA